rnacentral:tRNA from 1 species
UAAUCAAUAAGUUAGAUUUUCACUCCGGGACUUAAAAUCCUCGGGAGUUAAAUCCCGUGCCGGUUCAAGUCCGGCCCCGGGCACCA